rnacentral:rRNA from 1 species
UACAGAGGGUGCAAGCGUUAAUCGGAAUUACUGGGCGUAAAGCGUGCGUAGUCGGUUAUCUAAGUCGGGUGUGAAAUCCCCGGGCUCAACCUGGGAAUUGCAUUCGAUACUGGAUAGCUAGAGUUCGGCAGAGGGAAGCGGAAUUUCGGGUGUAGCGGUGAAAUGCGUAGAUAUCCGAAGGAACAUCAGUGGCGAAAGCGGCUUCCUGGACCAGAACUGACGAUCAGGCACGAAAGCGUGGGGAGCAAACAGGAUUAGAUACCCUGGUAGUCCACGCCAUAAACGAUGACAACUAGACGUUGGGAGGGUAAGCCUCACAGUGUCGCAGCUAACGCGUUAAGUUGUCCGCCUGGGGAGUACGGCCGCAAGGUUGAA